CAGCAGCCGCGGUAAUACGUAGGUGGCAAGCGUUGUCCGGAAUUAUUGGGCGUAAAGGGCUCGCAGGCGGUUUCUUAAGUCUGAUGUGAAAGCCCCCGGCUCAACCGGGGAGGGUCAUUGGAAACUGGGAAACUUGAGUGCAGAAGAGGAGAGUGGAAUUCCACGUGUAGCGGUGAAAUGCGUAGAGAUGUGGAGGAACACCAGUGGCGAAGGCGACUCUCUGGUCUGUAACUGACGCUGAGGAGCGAAAGCGUGGGGAGCGAACAGGAUUAGAUACCCCAGUAGUCCCUGUCUCUUAUAU
rnacentral:rRNA from 1 species